ensembl:lncRNA
UGUAAAGCUUACUGUAGUAUUAACUAUAGAAAACUGAUGAACUGUAAUAAAUACUGUAGUAUACUUUAGUUUUUACUACAGUAAACUGUAAUGUAUUGUAGUAUAAUAUACAAUAUAGUUGUACAAAACUUGGUACAGUAUUGGGUAAAGUAAUUUGUUUAUAUUACUAUAGUUGUUAUAUUACCACAGAAACUAUAGAAUUAACACAACAAAUUCAUUCAAGUACUUUACUAUAGUAUGGUUCAAAAACACUAGUAUUUACUAUAAAUUACUAUAGUAUUUUUUCAUGUGGGCUGUAUCGUUUUUUCUUCCUUUUUUCUUUCAAAAAUAACCCACAACUAGCCCCAGUGUCCCGUAUCUGCAAAAAAUAUUAAGAUGAUUUCUGAAGAAUAGUGUGACACUGACUGGAGUAAUGGCUGCUGAAAAUUCAGCUUUGCCAUCACAGGAAUAAAUUACAGUUUGAAAAAUAUAUUAAAAUAGAAAACAGUUACAAGUACAAUUUUAAUUUGUAAUAAUAUUUCACAAUAUUACUGUUUUUACUGUAUUUUCAUCAAAUAAAUGUAGCCUUUGUGUGCAUAGGAUACUUCUUUCAAAUACAUAAAAAAUGAACUAAAAAACAAAAACUAUUUUGUUUUUGUAUACUUUAUAAUUUUAAGAAUACACUUUAAAAAUCUAAAAUUGAUAGAAUGUUCAUCAUCUAAAACCCAUCCGAAAGUGACUGUCAUUGUGAUAUUUACAUACUGAAUUCCAACGGGUAUUUUCCUUGCAUCUGUUUGCAUAGUCUUUCUUGCAUCUACACUUUGCAUCAUUUAUGUUCUUCCUUGUGUGUGUGUUUAUGUGUGUAUAGAAUGUUUGCCCCAGCCACAUGCUCUGAGCCAGUCAAACUACUUGUGGAUCUUCAUUCUCCUUUUACUGAUGUGGGUCAUCACCGCCUUCUACUUCACAAAGGAAACUUCAUCAUAAUGUCCUGAAUCAGGUCUGGUAUGAGGUCCCUGAGCUGUGUUUUUUGCUAAAGCGUUUUUCUCAUAAUGCAGUUUGGUAUAAAAAAAAUAAAAAUAAAAUUGGCACUUUUCA